rnacentral:rRNA from 1 species
UGCUGCCUCCCGUAUGUAGUCUGGGCCGUGUCUCAGUCCCAGUGUGGCUGGUCGUCCUCUCAGACCAGCUACAGAUCGUCGCCUUGGUAGGCCUUUACCCCGCCAACUAGCUAAUCUGCCAUCGGCCGCUCCAAUAGCGCGAGGUCCGAAGAUCCCCCGCUUUCACCCUCAGGUCGUAUGCGGUAUUAAUCCGGCUUUCGCCGAGCUAUCCCCCACUACUGGGCACGUUCCGAUGUAUUACUCACCCGUUCGCCACUCGCCGCCAGGCCGAAGCCCGCGCUGCCGUUCGACUUGCAUGUGUAAAGCAUGCCGCCAGCGUUCAAUCUGAGCCAGGAUAAACUCUAAUCGAAUUCCCG